UACGUAGGGUGCGAGCGUUGUCCGGAAUUAUUGGGCGUAAAGAGCUCGUAGGCGGUCCGUCACGUCGGAUGUGAAAUUCCAGGGCUCAACCCUGGACCUGCAUUCGAUACGGGCGGACUAGAGUUCGGUAGGGGAGACUGGAAUUCCUGGUGUAGCGGUGAAAUGCGCAGAUAUCAGGAGGAACACCGGUGGCGAAGGCGGUUCUCUGGGCAUUACCUGACGCUGAGGAGCGAAAGCGUGGGGAGCGAACAGG
rnacentral:rRNA from 1 species